UACGGAGGGAGCUAGCGUUGUUCGGAAAUACUGGGCGUAAAGCGCACGUAGGCGGCGCAGCAAGUCAGGGGUGAAAUCCCGGGGCUCAACCCCGGAACUGCCCUUGAAACUGCAGUGCUAGAAUUCUGGAGAGGCGAGUGGAAUUCCGAGUGUAGAGGUGAAAUUCGUAGAUAUUCGGAAGAACACCAGUGGCGAAGGCGACUCGCUGGACAGACAUUGACGCUGAGGUGCGAAAGCCAGGGGAGCAAACGGG
rnacentral:rRNA from 1 species